rnacentral:rRNA from 1 species
GAUGAACGCUGGCGGCGUGCCUAAUACAUGCAAGUCGAGCGAACGGACGAGAAGCUUGCUUCUCUGAUGUUAGCGGCGGACGGGUGAGUAACACGUGGAUAACCUACCUAUAAGACUGGGAUAACUUCGGGAAACCGGAGCUAAUACCGGAUAAUAUUUUGAACCGCAUGGUUCAAAAGUGAAAGACGGUCUUGCUGUCACUUAUAGAUGGAUCCGCGCUGCAUUAGCUAGUUGGUAAGGUAACGGCUUACCAAGGCAACGAUGCAUAGCCGACCUGAGAGGGUGAUCGGACACACUGGAACUGAGACACGGUCCAGACUCCUACGGGAGGCAGCAGUAGGGAAUCUUCCGCAAUGGGCGAAAGCCUGACGGAGCAACGCCGCGUGAGUGAUGAAGGUCUUCGGAUCGUAAAACUUUGUUAUUAGGGAAGAACAUAUGUGUAAGUAACUGUGCACAUCUUGACGGUACCUAAUCAGAAAGCCACGGCUAACUACGUG